AACGAACGCUGGCGGCAUGCCUAACACAUGCAAGUCGAACGAAGUGGCGCCCGGGUGCGUAACGCGUGGGAAUCCGCCCUUUGGUUCGGAAUCACAGCUGGAAACGGCUGCUUAUAUCUGUUGCCUGAGGAUGUGCCCGUGUUGGAUUAGGUAGUUGGUGGGGUAAAGGCCUACCAAGCCGACGAUCCAUGGCUGGUCUGAGAGGAUGAUCAGCCACCCUGGGACUGAGACACGGUCCAGACUCCUACGGGAGGCAGCAGUGGGGAAUAUUGGACAAUGGGCGAAAGCCUGAUCCAGCAAUGCCGCGUGAGUGAUGAAGGCCCUAGGGUUGUAAAGCUCUUUUACCCGGGAAGCUGUACCGGGAGAAUAAGCCCCGGCUAACUCCGUGCCAGCAGCCGCGGUAAUUC
rnacentral:rRNA from 1 species